rnacentral:rRNA from 1 species
UACAGAGGGGGCAAGCGUUGUUCGGAAUUACUGGGCGUAAAGGGCGCGUAGGCGGCUUGCUAAGUCGGUCGUGAAAUCCCCGGGCUUAACCCGGGAACUGCGACCGAUACUGGUUGGCUUGAAUUCGGGAGAGGGAUGCGGAAUUCCAGGUGUAGCGGUGAAAUGCGUAGAUAUCUGGAGGAACACCGGUGGCGAAGGCGGCAUCCUGGACCGGCAUUGACGCUGAGGCGCGAAAGCCAGGGGAGCAAACGGG